AGGAGAGUUUGAUCAUGGCUCAGAUUGAACGCUGGCGGCAGGCCUAACACAUGCAAGUCGAACGGUAACAUGACUAGCUUGCUAGUUGAUGACGAGUGGCGGACGGGUGAGUAACGCGUAGGAAUCUACCCAGUAGCGGGGGAUAAGCCAGAGAAAUUUGGUCUAAUACCGCAUACGCCCUACGGGGGAAAGCAGGGGAUCUUCGGACCUUGCACUAUUGGAUGAGCCUGCGUGAGAUUAGCUUGUUGGUGAGGUAAUGGCUCACCAAGGCAACGAUCUCUAGCUGGUCUGAGAGGAUGAUCAGCCACACUGGAACUGAGACACGGUCCAGACUCCUACGGGAGGCAGCAGUGGGGAAUAUUGCACAAUGGGCGCAAGCCUGAUGCAGCCAUGCCGCGUGUGUGAAGAAGGCCCUAGGGUUGUAAAGCACUUUCAGCAGUGAGGAAAGGUUGUACGUUAAUACCGUGCAACUGUGACGUUAACUGCAGAAGAAGCACCGGCUAACUCCGUGCCAGCAGCCGCGGUAAUACGGAGGGUGCGAGCGUUAAUCGGAAUUACUGGGCGUAAAGCGCGCGUAGGUGGAUUGGUCAGUCAGAUGUGAAAGCCCAGGGCUCAACCUUGGAACUGCACCUGAUACUGCCAAUC
rnacentral:rRNA from 1 species